AUAAAUCGGUACAACUGGUACAAAUAGUUAUGGACAACUGGUACAAAUGGUUCUACUGAAACAAAGCAAUUUGUAAUUCUAAACCCUAAUUCUAAACUCUAGCGCCGUCACACUCAAUAAUUUGUCUCUUCUUGCUUUGUUCACUAUCGUUGUCGCCGAUUAUCACCAUCACCCUUCCUCGUCGAAGUUUGUGGACCGUCUUCUCUCACCAAACGAUUGUGCACUACAAAUGACGAAAGCACGAAGAGAAAUCCAUGGAGAAGAAGCUUGAAGAGAGAUCCAUGAUUUUUAAAUCUCAGAAAUCCAUGGAGAAGAAGCAUGAAGAGAGAUCUGAUCUAUAAAGAAGUGCGAAGAGAGAUCCAUGAAGAAGAAAAGAUCUAGAGUUUUAUUGAUGAUGAUAAUGGAGAAAAAGAGAAUGAAAGAUCUAAAAAACCUAGAAAAAGUAAAAAAGAAGGAGAAGAAAAAUAAGAGGAGGCGUGAAAGAAGAAGAAGAAGAAGAGUAGUUAUGUUAUUGGAUUGAUAAAAGUAAGGGUAAGUAUACGUAAUAAUUAGAUUAGGGUAAGGGUUUUUUGUCUUUUCAUAUUUAUUUGAUUUAAAUUAAUUUUUUCACG
rnacentral:lncRNA from 1 species